UACGAAGGGUGCAAGCGUUACUCGGAAUUACUGGGCGUAAAGCGUGCGUAGGCGGUUUGUUAAGUCUGUCGUGACAGCCCCGGGCUCAACCUGGGAAUGGCGAUGGAUACUGGCAGGCUAGAGUACGGUAGAGGGUGGUGGAAUUCCCGGUGUAGCAGUGAAAUGCGUAGAGAUCGGGAGGAACACCAGUGGCGAAGGCGGCCAUCUGGGACAACACUGACGCUGAGGCACGAAAGCGUGGGGAGCAAACAGG
rnacentral:rRNA from 1 species